rnacentral:misc_RNA from 1 species
CGGACAGUUCCUCCGCUACAUUGACAACUGUCAUUUACAGAGUCCCAGUGGUUUAUGUGUGGACACCAAAAACAACCUCUUUGUGGGUGAAAAUAAAACAGGUAAAGUGAAGAAAAUCCAAUACAGCAUGUAAACAAACUGUGAUCAUAGUAGUACAUGGCAUUGUGUAAUUUUGUGUACAUUUACAAAGUAAAUAUCAAAUAUCAACGUAAAAUAUUUACAUUUG